ensembl:Mt_tRNA
AUCUUCCUAGUAUAAAUGAUAAUAUAAGUGACUUCCAAUCACAUGACCUUGGUUAAAAUCCAAGGGAAGAUA